rnacentral:rRNA from 1 species
AGUGAACGCUGGCGGUAGGCCUAACACAUGCAAGUCGAACGGCAGCACAGUAAGAGCUUGCUCUUACGGGUGGCGAGUGGCGGACGGGUGAGGAAUACAUCGGAAUCUACUUUUUCGUGGGGGAUAACGUAGGGAAACUUACGCUAAUACCGCAUAUGACCUACGGGUGAAAGCAGGGGAUCUUCGGACCUUGCGCGAUUGAAUGAGCCGAUGUCGGAUUAGCUAGUUGGCGGGGUAAAGGCCCACCAAGGCGACGAUCCGUAGCUGGUCUGAGAGGAUGAUCAGCCACCCUGGAACUGAGACACGGUCCAGACUCCUACGGGAGGCAGCAGUGGGGAAUAUUGGGCAAUGGGCGCAAGCCUGAUCCAGCCAUACCGCGUGAGUGAUGAAGGACUUCGGGUUGUAAAGCGCUGUUGUUGGGAAAGAAGAACAGCAGGUUAAUACCCGACUGUUCUGACGGUACCCAAAGAAUAAGCACCGGCUAACUUCGUG